GAAACACGACAAAUAUUUUAUAAUGGGCAAUCAUAGUCAGUAAACAUUUCAUUUAUUAUGUGACAGACGUGAUGUUUUGAGUCACAUGAUGUUCUGGUAAUGUUAAAAAUCCAAGAUGGCAGGUCCACAUGGAAACAUUGUACAAUGGAAAGGUGUGGAAAUCAUAUCUCCAAAUGCUUUUAGCUCGCUUAGCAGAAGAUAUGUUGGGAUAAUUAUAUCUGCUGCCAGCCUGCCAUAAGGAUUGUUCAGUGACUGUCCUGAAAUAUAUGGACAUUGUUUGGAAGUUUGCUGGAUGGUUAACUACUUAUGGGACAAACAAGGGAGAGCAGAUGAAACGGGACCUUGGCAGACACUGUGGGGGAAAAAAGCUGCUUAAAAAGUCUUCAAAAAUAUUCCUUUAAAAGAUUAGCUUGACAUGAGAUCUUCUGUUGACCAUCCCGGAUGUUGGUGUCUAUGGCGACGGCGUUGGAUUCUAAAGGCUUGCUGGCAGCGCUCAGACACUGAAUCUUCCCACAUUUAGCAUUCCUAAACAGAAGACCAACAGAACGUCUUUGAUUGGCCCAAAUGAUGAUGACUUAAAAUACUGGUCAAAAAUGUGGAAUAAUUAAGAUUUAUUAAUGCUAAUUUCUGAUGCUCACCAAGGCUACAUUUAUUGAAUCAAAAAUACAUUAAAAUCAGUACUAUUGUGAAAUAUUAUUAAAAUUUUUAAAAUAACUUUUAUAUUUGAAUAAGGGGUCGACCUGUUAUCGGCGCCAAUAUUAAGCAUUUCUAUGAUUAUCGGUAUCGGUCAUUUUCAAAACCGAUUUGCCAGUUACAUAAUUUAAAAGAAUUUAAAAAAAGGUUUUGUCAGAGCCCUUGUUAUUCUUAAUUUUGACAUUAAUUAAUUAACAUUUUUACACCAGACAUAUAUAUCGGUUAUUAGUCUACUUGAUCUGUAAUAAUCAGGCCUGAAAAACAAAUAUCGGUCGACUAAUUUAAAUGUUUUAAUAUGCAAUUCAUUCCUGUGAUGGCAAACCUGAAUUUUCAGCAGUCUCCAAUGUCACAUGAUCUUCAAGAAAUAAUUUGCUGGUUUGGUGCUCAAAUAUUAAUAAUAGUUCCUCCCAUCAAUGUUGAAUACAGCUUUUGCUUUUUAAAUGUUCUAUUUUGAUAAAUAGAACAUUUAAAAGAACAGCAUUUAAUGUGUCCUUAAUUUCUUUUUUUAAUGCAUAACAGUUUCUUUUUCUUUCCUUUAAAAAACUCAUUUGAAUGAGUAAACUGUACAUUAUCACAGUUACCACAAUAAUUUUAAGCAGCAAAAACUUAUUUUCAACAUUGAUAAUGAUAAGAAAUGUUUCUUGAGCACCAAAUAUUAGUAUGAUUUCUGAAGGAUCAUGUAACACUAAAGACUGGAGUAAAGAUGCUGAAAAUUCAGCUUUUGCAACACAGGAAUAAAUUGCAUUUUAAAAUUUAUUACAAUUGGAAACUGUUUUUGAAAUAUUUCAUAAUAUUACUGUUUUUAGUGAAUUUUUGAUCAAAUAAAUGUAGCUUUGUUGAGCAUAAGAGACUUCUUUCAAGAACAUAAAAAAAAUCGUAAUUAUUCCAAACAUUUGAUCGGUAGUCUAAGUAAGUGCGU